GAUGAUGAUGCUAUAAUCCUAUUCCAUUGCUGAAUACUCAACAGUGUUGAAUAAUCCUAACUGAUGUC